UAGCAAUACGAGAGUGGCAGACGGGUGAGUAACACGUGGGAACCUUCCCUAUGGUUCGGAAUAGCUCAGGGAAACUUGAGGUAAUACCGGAUAAGCCCUUACGGGGAAAGAUUUAUCGCCAUUGGAUGGGCCCGCGUCGGAUUAGCUAGUUGGUGAGGUAACGGCUCACCAAGGCGACGAUCCGUAGCUGGUCUGAGAGGAUGAUCGGCCACACUGGGACUGAGACACGGCCCAGACUCCUACGGGAGGCAGCAGUGGGGAAUAUUGGACAAUGGGCGCAAGCCUGAUCCAGCCAUGCCGCGUGAGUGACGAAGGCCUUAGGG
rnacentral:rRNA from 1 species